UGCGCAGGCGGAAUGAUAAGUCAGUGGUGAAAUCCUACAGCUUAACUGUAGAACUGCCAUUGAUACUGUUGUUCUUGAGUACAUUUGUAGUGGGCGGAAUGUGUCAUGUAGCGGUGAAAUGCUUAGAGAUGACACAGAACACCGAUCGCGAAGGCAGCUCACUAAACUGUAACUGACGCUGAGGCACGAAAGCGUGAGGAUCAAACAGGAUUAGAUACCCUGGUAGUCC
rnacentral:rRNA from 1 species